UACAGAGGGUGCAAGCGUUAAUCGGAGUUACUGGGCGUAAAGGGCGCGUAGGCGGUCAUUUAAGUUUGAUGUGAAAUCCCUGGGCUUAACCUAGGAACUGCAUUGAAUACUGGGUGACUGGAGUACUGUAGAGGGUAGUGGAAUUUCCGGUGUAGCGGUGAAAUGCGUAGAGAUCGGAAGGAACACCAGUGGCGAAGGCGGCUACCUGGACAGAUACUGACGCUGAGGCGCGAGAGCGUGGGGAGCAAACAGG
rnacentral:rRNA from 1 species